GGGGCGGGGCGGUGCGCGGGGCGGGCCGCGGGCGGGGUCCGGAGGCAGCCGGCGGGAUCGCGGCGGAGCCGGAGAGCGCAGCCUCGUCCCCAGCUCGUCCCCAGCCUGUCCCCGCCACCGCCGCCGGGGCAUGGCCUGUCUGAUGGCCGCCUUCUCGGUCGGCACAGCCGCGAAUGCCAGCAGUUACUCGGCCACGAUGACCGAGCCCAAGUCCGUGUGCGUCUCGGUGGACGAGGUCGUCUCCAGCAGUGUGGACGACGCAGAGACGGACCUGCUGAAUGGACACCUGAAGAAAGUGGACAACAGUCUCACCGAGGCCCAGCGCUUCUCCUCCUUGCCCCGGAGGGCGGCCGUGAACAUCGAGUUCAAGGACCUGUCCUACUCAGUUCCCGAAGGACCCUGGUGGAGGAAGAAAGGUAGGGGAGGCGGCUGCGUGGAUGGCCAGAAAGAAGCCACGGGCUGCUGGGAAAAAUCUGGGGCCGGAAGUUGGAGGUCUGAGAUUCUCUUCCAGUGCUGUUGCCAGUUUAUUCAGUUGCUUUAUUCCUGGCUUUUCUCACCUGUGAAAUGACUAGGUUGGCUUAGGUGAUCCGAAAGUGCACAGUGACUCUAAAAUCCUGUGAUAGGAUAACAGGUUGAAUAUCUCUGUUUGUAAGCACUGGGAACCGGAAGUGUGUCAGGAUUUUGGAUGUUUGCAGCUUUGGGAAUAAGUGCACAUACAUAGUAAGAUAUCUGGGGGGCGGGAGACCCAAGUGUAAACAUGUUAGUCUGUGUAGCACACACACCUUACGGGUAGGCUAAAGGUGAUUUUACACAAAGUACCCGUUUUAACUGAGACCUGGUACCCGAGGUCAGGUAUGGAAAUUUCUACCUGUGAAGUCAUGUGAGUGUCAAAAAGGUGAGAUUUUGGAGCACUUUGAGGUUAGAUGCCCCGCCUAUAGAAAGAACCCACAGCCGCUGGGUGGUGGCAGUGCAAACCUGCAUCUGGUGCUUGCCGGGAGGGUCCUCCUUGGCAGGUGCUGUGGGCUUUACUUCCUGUCAGCCUUUCAGAUGGAGCAUUUCCAGCUGUUCACACCAAAACAGAUGCAGGUGCUGCCUCCCGAGUCUGAAGUGUGAAAGGUAGCGGGGCCCUGGAGUGACCUCUCUGAGAACGGCAUUUCUUUCGGGUCUUGGAAGGAGUCUUGGGUGGGUGGUACUGGUGGGCUGUAGAGAAAACCAAACUGUUAUAAAGUGAUUGAUGUGAAUAAAGAGAAAGGAUCGGGAGGAAGACUCUGGAAAGCCUGUACAUGGGCUGGUGGGGUCGGAAGACUGGCACCUUAGUUUCUCAGCCACCUUUCGAGACUCAACUUAGAAAGUGAGAAUACUUGCCUCCCUGGGUCGCUGGUUCUUUUUCUGGCUAGAUCUGCUGCCUCCUUGGACCUUUACUCUACCACCCCACCCUGCAUGCAUGCAUAGGUCGCCCAUCUCCAAGGGGAGCUGCUGGGGGGGCAGACAUGGCCAAAGUGGCCUCUGGUUUCCAUGGAGUCACCAAAAUCAGCUUGGAGAUAUACAUGGGGUGGAAUAGUGUCAUUUUUUUUUUUUUUUUUAGGACUCAGCUUUUCAGUCUAGACUCAACCCUUCUGUCUUUUUGAAGACCAACCAAGAUUCUGCUUUUCUUUCCACUUCCCCCUCUUACCUCUGUUUUGUUUCCCCAUCCUCUGGGUGCCAAGCCAGCCAGCUUGUUGGCAUGAGUGCUGGGGCCGUGCCUGAAGGCACAAUUGUAGACAGCUCCUGGGACCUGUGAGCUCCAGUGCUUGGAUUCGGUCUUGAGUUUUCACAACCAGAGCAGGUUCUGUACCCUCUCCAGCCGGAUCAUAUAGCUGUCAUCCGAUACGGGCAUUUUCAGAGGGUGCCAGCUUGUUUUGUUAGGACAGACAUUCCAUGCCGGCCUCGAGUUUGGGCCCAUUCUGUUGAGCCUGUUGGAAUUCCACAUAGGCGCUUAGCCUUUUCCCUCUCAACUUGAAGGAAGAUUUUAAAGAAAAAUGCAGCAGGAAACCAGGGGCCUCAUCAUGUUUGGGCCUCAGUGUUCACAUCAACUGGCAAACCUGUGUGACGUGUGGAACACUCUUGUGUGCCUGCCACGUGUGGCCUCAGGGAUGUUACCACAGGGCUCAGGAUGCAGAUGGAUGUCCUGCAAGAGGAAGGUGGUCUCCAUGCGGGAGACUGGGCCACACACGAGGCCCAGCACACAGGCUGCUUGUUGGCCAGUGUUGUGCCUUGUCUACCCCGUGCUCCAUGACAGCGAUGGCUCUGUGGUGAGGAAGGACCACUGCUGCCCAGCUCCAGCCUCCUGGAGGCUCAGCCAGGUGGCCACGGGCAGACACUUGCCUGGCAGUAACCUUGGUGUGCUCGGCUGGGAAGAACCGGAAACGGCCCCUACGGGAAUUUCCUGUGAGUCACGGCAGCCGUGCCUGGCUUAACCCAGCAGGGCCCUUCCUGGAUGCGCCAGUGCUCGGCGGUGGCUGAGGCCGCAGCCAGGGAGGCCUGGUGUUUCCCUAGAGUUUCUUCCUCGCUGUGGUCCUCACCAGCACCCUCAUCAGUGUGGUGUCGGGUGGGCACUGACCUGGGCGCUGUGUUUCCUCACUCAGAGAUCCCCAGCAAUAAAGUGUGUGUUCAUUCUGCACCCACGGGGGGCAUGGUGGUGCAUGCCUUCCUGACUCUGGAAGGCCGAGCCAGGAGGAUCUCAAGUUGCCCAACUUGGGCAACUUAGCAAAACCAUUUCACAAUAAAUAAUGAAAAGGGGUGAGGCUGUAGCUCAGUGUGAAGGUAUGGAGAAACAAAUGGACUCAGGUGUCAGGCUGCCCUGGAGGACUUCUCUGGGCCCGGGACACACUGAUGCCCCCUGCCUGUCCCUCGGGGCCCCAUCCUGUCCCUGCUUACCCUCAGAGUCUGUCUUCUUCUCCAUCCCCACGUGGGUUCUUCCUUUCCCAUCUCUGUCCCUCUCUUGCUGGUGACCAUCCCGGUUCCUCGCAGGCAGGGUCUGGGAGCUAUGCUGGGAGGCCCCACCCCUCCGCCCUGUGCACCCUCUCCCCACAGUGGCAAUUUCAGAUUGGCAGCAAUUCAGCGCACUGGUGACCUCCAGUGCAGGCAGCUUCUUGCACGGUGGCACCUGAUUAGCUUUGCCCUCUGGACCUGGCUGAUUGUUUUCAGCUUUUAAAUCUCAAUCUGAUGGGCUGAGCUGUCCAUCAGUGAGGGUCAAUGUCAUGGUCAUUCAAGGGGAGCCUCACCAAGUGUAAGAGGAAUGGAGCAUCCGGCACACCUACUCUGACUCCCUGCAGUCUGUGAGAGAAACGGGAGCCCAGAGGAAAGGUUUUGCCCGAGGUCAGAGCCAACCCGGGGCCCUGCUGUCCCUUCCCAUUCCCAAGACCCUGGACCAGGCAGUGGCACCCGGGGCUGACUUCUCACAAAAUUCCUCCUGGAGCAAGGAGCACCAGGCCAGGUGGGGGCUUGUGAUGAGAACAUUCUAAAAUCUUCACGAACAUUUUAAAGAAAGCAGACAGAGAAAAGAGACUCCACCACACUCGGAGAAGUGAUGAGACAUCAAUAGCAAUGUUUUUAAGAAGGAGGUACCAGGCCCUAUUAUUAUUAUUAUUAUUAUUUUUUUUAGUACUGGGAUUGAACCCAGGGCCUUUGCACUGAGCCAUGUCCCCAGCCUUUUUAUAUUUUUUUAUUUUGAGACAGAGCCUUGCUGACUCACCCAGGUCAGGUUUGAACUUACCAUCUUCCUGCCUCAGCCUCCCAGAGUGCUGGAAUGACAGGCGUGCACCACGCCAGGCUGAGGCCCAGGAUUUUUAACAUCUCACAGCUCGAUGAUCGUCCAGCAUUGAACAUGGUCUUUAACAAAACAUCUUGUACUUUCAAUUGUAGUUACAUUUUUACCGCAUGAUUAAUGAUGUCUUUGGAGGAAAAACUAGAUCAUAUAAUAGAUUC
rnacentral:lncRNA from 1 species